GAGAGAGAGAAAGCUGUGGUGCGCUCCCUCCAACCCUCUGCCCAAGGUCGCUCCAGACUUCUCCAGUAGAGCCCAGAGCUGUGAUAGCCAAGGACCCAGCACAGGAUUUGAGACAUCUGCCUGUUUCCAACCCAGCUACAGGAGAGCUGAGGCUCAGGGUGUCUUGAAUCUGCCUGGAGUCCAUCUUUGUAUUUAGUGUUAGGCAGGGAUCCAGUACUUUGGGCUGCAUGGACUCGGCCAGUUUUCUCAAGGAUGUUUACCAAAUAAUGGGCCCUUCUCCCCAUCAAUUCGUGGCGCUUCCUUAUAAGCUUCCCAGCAUCUCUGAGCAAGAAGAACCGAGAAAGACCAACACCUUGAUUGGAGAAGCGCUCCACCAACAUUGUUUGGAACAAAACUUGAGUGGGUGAAAGAUGAAAAAUGUGUGUGUAAAACAUGCAGAAGAAAAGACGCCAACGUUGGAAUGAACUGAACCACGA